UGGGUUUUAUUUAAUAUAAUUAGGGCUAGCAAUUUUGGCUAGUUCGUACAAAUUGUGUGAUAUCUACAGUUGAAAAUUUAAAACUAUUUGGAUUAUUGAGUGUGCUAAGUGUAUAAAAAAUUUUGUGAUAAUCUAACUAUGGGGUUUAGAUUUAUCAAGUUUUUAGCACAAGAAGGUUUCAGAAGGUGGCAGUUUGAGGUUGGAUAGAAUUUCUAUGAUAUUUGAAGAUCUAUCAGUCGGAUUAAGGUAAAAAUUAGCAUGGACUUGGAAGAUUUAAAGAUCAAGCUACAUACCAAUUUUGAGACAUAGUUAAUAGUUGAAGAAGGAGAAAUCAUUGCUGGGAUUUUUGCUUAUUUUUUUUCAAGUUGGCAGCUGAGUGAUAUUAGUGCAAUUUUUGGAGUUUUUCUCACAAUUUGUAAGUUGGAUUGGAUUAAAAAUUCUUGAGCAUAUAUAAAACUUGUAUUGAAAAUUACAUGCAAAAUUCCACAUUAAGUGGACGAUCGGAUUGGAUGUUACAGCUUGUUAAAGCUCACUAAUUAGGAUUGGAGUUUACAAGAAAAAUCUAAAUUGCUUAAAUAUGAAAGUAAUAAGGUAAUUGGGAUUUAUGUAU
rnacentral:lncRNA from 1 species